UUGCAAUGCUACUGAUCUUGCUGCGUGACACGAAAUAGGAUCAAGGAUAAUACACUAUUGCUCGUCGCCUGACUUGACACCGCAGCCCAUUAAUUUUGAAAGAAAGCACAUUGUUUGCGAACGUUUUUCAUAUUUUGUAUACUACAUUUGAAGAGAAAAAUAUUUUACGUUGACGGCAACCAUUUCAACCGGAAGUUGAGUAGCUUGGAGGCUAACAUCAUGGUGAAAGGAGGGUACUGACCGCUAACUAGAAACCGGUAGGAAGAAGGGGGCAGGACUCCCACGAUUCUUGCACCAACAAAAAGCUUUGGAAGGUCAGACGAAACGCUUUCCUAUAAGAAGUUGGCUUUGGGUCAUCCUUGUACGUUGGAGUCGUGAAGGACAAGUGGCCGGCAGUUUUGACAGAAGACUGAAGUUCUUUUAUGAUCUUCAAAUGUGUCUUCACAUCAAUAUCAUCUAUUGAAAGAACAAUUUAAAGGAACGGAAACUGCCAGAACAUCCUCAAAUGUACAGUGAAGCAAAGCUGCUCCUCUGUUUCAACUAUUGUCGACGGCAAAGCUUUCAUGGCCUCGAUCACCUGCUUGUGGCACAGGGAGCAGCAGCGCAGGCCAGUGGGAUCAUGCAUUCCUGGUCCUCACAGUAGUGUUGGUCUCAAUUAUUCGCCUGGUAACCGUUUUGUAAGAUUUUCUUGCUAGCUUUUCCAGGUUGUUUGGCAGUCAGGGCUACUGUAAACAUCCUUGACUGGAAGCUGGUGUUGGGUAUUGGGGCUUUCAGUCGGAUGUUUGCAGCAGCCAACUGCUAGUAUCAUCUUUAUACACCUCCACACUUGUAUUUAACUGGACAUGUAAAAUCCGUGCCGACUGCUGUUGAAAUUCAAAUAAGUGUACACAACCAAAGCCUGGACUACUAAUUAUUACCAUUAUUAUUUUUUUUGUUUGUUUGUUUGUUUGUUUACAAAUUAUUAUUUUUUUGUUACUUACGAAUAAUUAACUACUGUUGUCACAAGACUUUUUUUUUUUUUUUUUAAGUUUGCUCAAAAAGCAAAUAUAUUGUUAGAAAGUGUAAAAAAAAUUAUCCUACAGCGUUUCCUGAAUGUUAGUUUUCCUUUAUUUCAAAAACAAGCCAAGUUUUGUUUUUUGGGGCCUAAAAAAGACCUUAGCCAAGUAAUUUUAGAGCAUCAUACAUUUGCUGAGAUUCAUUUAGCUCGUCAUCUCACAAGUUUCACUUGUUGCUAGGCAGUAUUCCCGGAAAGAGUUACAUAAUUUGUGUUCAUUCUAUAUUUUUAGUUUUCUUUUUUCUUCUUUGUGGCACAGAAAUCUGUUAGCCAGCAUUGGAGACAAAUGAUAGUAAAGAAGUAAGACUGACAUACAUUAAGUAAUUUACUCUUAAUGUAGUAACCUAACCAGCUAAUAUUAUGAAUGGUAUUUUUACCCAUUGAAAUACAUUGAACUGUCAUAGCAGGCAAAAGUAAACUCCAAGACAAAUUGGUGAGCGGAAAUAUGUAAUUACAUGUUGUGAUAGUGGUCUGUUCCCAGUGGAUGGGAGUGGCUUCAUCCUCUUGAAAGACUAGAAAACUAAACAAAACAGCAGUGAACGUUUGUUAAUUGUCUGCUCCCAUUAAUGACGCUCUGUAACACACCACAGAGCCACAGACGUGGAAGAAAGGACGGAAGGAACUAGGUGUGCCAUUAUUACUAACAACCUUACCUCCUCAUCCAUCAAGAUGUCCCGUGCUUAUUUAAACAAUUCUUGUAUUUCUUAAUCAGUAAGGGAAAAGCAAUAUAAUAGAUUAUGGUGUCAGUAACAAAAAAGGGGAAGGAGAAAAUUGGGAAUAGGCAUCUAUCAAGUACUACAUUUUUUCAUGGAAAUUGGUGAAUUCAUCACCUAAAUUCAAUGGCCUCUUGAGCUGCAGGAAGUGUAAACAUCCUACACUCUCGGCGUUCACCCCCUGGUGGCCGGGAGUGAGCCUGUUUGCACUUCAUGGCUCAGGAAUUCAGUUCACCGUUGGGGUAAGGCACACGAUACUGUACUAAUGUCGUAUAUACUCAUGGUUGUUCAUGUUUGAAUAUACUGUAUUUUGUAUGUUUGACAGCUCUUACAAUGUGAAGAUGUUGGCAUGCAAAUUAAUGGGUUAUAAAAUGUGAUUGUCAGUUUAAUAAUAUAAAAAGCCAUUAAUAAAGACUAUUGACAUAUCAAAUUCUCUCACCAGAGUUGGUAAAAACGUGUGGAGUUGAGUAUAAUGUCUCCUUCCAUAAAAGAAGACUAUUGCUAAACAAUUGGUUAAGGCAAAGCAGUGUUUCGCACACUGGGCUGGCAGGAAAUGAAGGAAAAGAGGACUGGAAGCACAUGGAGUUGCCAUCUGUUUUUGGGCAACAGAGGAAAGCGUCAAUUUAGAGAGACAUGGCAUUAUGUCAUAUAUACAUAUUAUAUUAAGGAACUAGCAUCCUCAAACCAAGUGUGUGUUUUUUUUUUUUUUUUUUUUUUUUUUUUUGUUCAUCAAAUCUGAAAAAGUAUAAUUAAUCAUAUAAUCAGACUUUGUACAUUUGCACGUUCCUUCACGUUUGUGAAAUUUUAAAGGCAACAUUUCUCUAAUGAACACAAUCUUGAACCACAAAAAAAAAAAAUGUUUCAUUGUGGAUUUAUUUUGAUUUUGUGUGCUCUACAUAAGCCUACUGAUACCGUAAAGUACACAAAGUACUAAUAUAAGAACAGUGAAACAUGGCACAAUCAUAGUGAUUAAAUGAGCCCAAUACAAACUACUCCAACAUGUGUCCUCUACUCUUCCACAACGUGCAAUAUAUUCCUUUUCCCCCCAAAUAAAUUACUCAGUAAAUACUAGUUAUAUAUUUAAAUGAACAGUAAAAUCUAUACAAAAACCAAUGCACGCAAAGUUAUUGGGAAAUACCAUCCUUUCUGACACUCAAUAAAAUACAAAAGAGGCACUUAAUAGUAUGUUACACACGCUUACAUAACAUAUAUAGAUAAUGCAUACACUAUGCUAAAAAAGUCAAUUAGUUUAGCCCAUGUGAACACAUUUCACCUGAAAAGUUUGUUUUCCACUUUUAUCAAAUGCAAGUCUUGUCAGCCAGCAGGAAGAACACAAGUCAUUGAAGGCGUUUGUUUUGCAAACUCAAGCAUCUGACAAAUUAUAUUGUAAUACACUGUGAUGAAUUUUCAAAGGCCUGACUGGCUGGGUAAAAUAUGCAAUUCCUGUGGUGCUGUUAUAUUGUAAAACCCUAAAACUUGAUGGCGUCACAUACACAAUCAGCAUUCAAUAGCAUUCAAUUCAGCUUGAAUAUAAAAACUAUUAUCACCAAAGAUUUUUUUUUUUUUAUCUUUGCUCGUGCAUCUUCAUCCCCUCAUCAGAGGUUUACAGUGUCACAUUAAUGGGCUUAUAGUUCACACACAAUUCACUAUCACAGUCCGUUUGUCAAAUUGCUAUGCUGAAAACAUACAGUACCUCCAUUGUGGGAGUUUACAUUAACUCAAUCUACAUGUGAAUUCUAAAAAGCAUAGAUUUAACUUGUAUAUAUAAUAUACAGCUGUCUAAUAUUACCUAUUAUAAAUAACCUAACAGUAUUUUAACAGGAAGACAUAGAUUGUCAUUAAAGUUCAGCACACCACAUGUUAAUCGAUUGAUAUUUUCAGCCAGCUGGGUAUAGGCUUUUAGGUGACAGGCAGCCAUAUUUGAGGUCCACUAUUCUAUCCGAAUGUCACACUAUUCAUUCCUAAAUUACAAAGGGCCGCACUGAAAAAAAAAUAUAUUACAAAAACUACAUUAUUGAAAAUUUAGCACUGUAAUGUUACUAGUAAAGUGGUUUCAUGAGAAUUGCUGUACAUAUAUUUUAAGCUCCCCCAGUAGAUCUGGCUUUUUAUUCAGGAAAAAACACAUAACCCUGUAUAUAUAUAUUGUAAUUGAAAAAUACACUAACACUAUAAUAUUUGCAAUUAAGAUUUAGAGAUACUGUACAGCACACUUUACAAAUAAGUGUCAUUGUUGAGGAUCUAUAAAGUGUAUUUAUAAAUUUGUUGGUUGACACGUGUUUAUUGGUUGAUCAUAAUUUAUGAAGUGUCUGUAUAUAAUAACACGUGGCACAUUUUCAAUUACAAUAAUAAUAGUGAAUACUAUAAACCAGUUGUGGAAAAAAUAUGAUCCUGCAGUUUUAGGAUAAUUAAGACUGGAACGCAGAAAGUAUGAACCACAGCCUGCAAUUAUUUAUUGCAAUAUUAUUUUUAGAUAGAAAGUAGUGAUACCAGUAAAAAUGCAUGGCCCAUUUUAAAGUGUAAUACCAUUGAGUGGCGUUAAUAUGUCUGAAUAGUAGUGUGAAAGUUCCUUACAAGGUAUAUUUAGGCUUAAAAUGUUUCACUUUUUUUGUCUAUUUUCACAGCAUUUAAGGAUAAAACCUAAAUUAGAGAUUACUCUAAAAUAUAUACUGUAUAUAUGUAAUUGGUAAAGUAUUGCUGUGUUCUUAACCUAUCCUGCCUGACCCUAUUUAUUAUUUUUACUGAGUUUGAAAAGUAAUAAUAUAAAGAUUCUCCCUGAAAUCCAGUUUCACAUUGUCAUAUAAAUCAUGCUCCUAAUUACUAUCGUAGCUCUAAUUCCAGUGUUCGAUUAACUGGCUCAGCAUGGCAAGCAUCUGCUCAAAAACAUCACUAACCUUGUUGGAUAAUGUUCCAACUCCCAAAAAUAUAAGGCCAUCUUUAGUCUUAUGUUCAAAUAUCCCUGAUUUGGGCCUCAACCAGUUCACAUGGUUUUAGUCCAUUAAGUAGUCUUGCUUUGUUGUUCUGUCCUAGCCAACAUUCUGAAUAAUACCUUAAAUGAAUGAAGUCUGUUUAUCAUAAGCCCUUAGGAAAUUGUUCUGUCACUAAAUAUCUUCCCUACAGUUUUGUCUUAAUUCACAUUUACCUAUAGAAUGGCUCCUGAAAACAUAACAUACUGGACUGUCUCAGAAAAUUAGAAUACACAAUAUUCUAAUUUUCUGAGACAGUCCUGUAGAUUGUUCUAUGUAAAGGACGUCAGCCAAGGUCGGCCCCCCACAUUUUUACCACGCCAAAUCUGGUCCCCUUUGCAAAAAGUUUGGACACCCCUGCUUUAAAUGGUGGAUUAAUGUACAGGACUGUCUCAGAAAAUUAGAAUAUUGUGUAUUCUAAU